UCGGCGACCGGGCCCCUCUGGCAGGUGGAUGAACCCCUGUGAUGUCGGAACCGAUUU
rfam:Microvirga vignae strain BR3299 T20BR3299_1_(paired)_contig_42, whole genome shotgun sequence.